CUCUACGUAAAAUAUGUAUUUGACCUAUCAAAAAUAAGAAAUUUAAGUGGGAUGUGCCAUAUAACUUGUCUUGUUUGUGAAAGCUUUUCCUGUUUUAUAAUAAUGAGUGUAUGAUAAUAAUGGUGUUUGUUUAUUUCUGUUAUGUAUUCUUUAUAUUUAUAACACUAUUUCAAAAAUCUGUUGGACGAAUCCAGUGCGACAAUGGAGAAACUAUUUCAAUGUCUAUGUUUAAGGAUUGUCAUAGUGAAUUACAUAGUAUCUUUGAACUUAUAUGUAGUUUAUUUUCACCAAAUAUGGAUUUAAAUAUUGCUGGUGCUCCGGUUGUUGGAGAUAGAUUAAAUGCCACAGAAAGACUGGUUUGUGGUUGUUGUAUGAAUGAUUGUAGUUUAACUGAACUUAGGAACUAUUGUUGGUUGCAAAAUACGAAGCUGUGACUUUCUGGUGAAUUUAUAUUUAUUAUAUACACAUGUUAAAAAUUGUUUGACAAUAUUUAUUUUAUCUGUUCACUUUCAAAGAAAAAUAAAGUGUGCUGGUUUCCAAAA